AUGAAGAAGUGCAUCUCCUUCGGGGCAGAUGGUGCCUCCAUAAACAUGGGCCACCGUGGGGGAGUGAUUGCCCACCUGCAGAGAGAGGCAGGGGGGCAUAUAAUCCCAAUCCACUGUAUGCCACAUAGAUUAGAGCUGGCAAUACUGACCAUCCAGAAAAAAGAGCCAAAGGCAUCUGUCGUGUACGAUCUUCUGAAUCUGAUAUGGAAGACGUAUCACUUCAGCGGAAAAUCCAAACGAGAGCUCUAUGUUCUCGGACAAGAGCUCGGUGUGGAUAUUUGCACACCAUCUAGCGUCAAGGGAACUCGCUGGAUCCCCCAUGUCCACAGAGCCCUCAAAGUGUUCCUACGACAUGGACAAGACAAGGACCUUGGAUGGAUCCCCCAUGUCCACAGAGCCCUCAAAGUGUUCCUGCAGCAUGGACAAGACAAGGACCUUGGAUGGAUCCCCCAUGUCCACAGAGCCCUCAAAGUGUUCCUACGGCAUGGACAAGACAAGGACCUUGGAUGGAUCCCCCAUGUCCACAGAGCCCUCAAAGUGUUCCUGCAGCAUGGACAAGACAAGGACCUUGGAUGGAUCCCCCAUGUCCACAGAGCCCUCAAAGUGUUCCUGCAGCAUGGACAAGACAAGGACCUUGCCACUGACGAAGGCCAGUACUCCGUUGUUCUGCAGCACAUGGAGCACCUGGCAGUAGCAUCAACAACAGCGGAAGUUCAAGGGCGGGCAAAGAAGGGAAUAACACUGAAGGGGGAUCUGAAAGGCUUCACGGACCUCACCAAUCCCCAGCUGAAGCAGCAUAUUGAGGCGGCCAUCAACAUCGGCGUGGAUGAUUUCAAAGCCAGGUUUGGUGGUUUGCUGAAGGAUGAGGGCGUCCAGAUCCCAGUGGAGUCUUUCAGAGUGCUAAACCCUGACACAUGGCCAGAAGACCAGGCCAGCCUUCUCACCUUUGGCGAUGAUGGUGUGGCAGACCUGAUGAGGAAUUUCAAGGAGCCUCUAGAGAGAUCGGGGUGCAACAUGGCUGCAAUCCAGGAUGAGUGGCAGGGGCUGAAAAUCCUGGUCAGCCACAAUUUCAAGGACAAGUCCUACAGUGGCUUGUGGGAGACCAUAUUGACAAAGGACCACUACAUGCACGAUUACAAGCCGCCCAGUGUUAAUGGUAAGAGUUUAAAUGAACCGGAUUAAGAAUUCAACAAGAAGCUGCCUUGGGGUCUCCACCACCGAAGACCUGAUGAGGAUCAGCCUGGAGGGGCCUUCUGUCGAGGAGUUCGAUCCCACUCCUGCCGUGGACCGCUGGCUGACCUCUAAGCGUGCCAGACGGCCAACAUACAAAAGCAGCUGGAAAACUGAUAUCCUUUACGUCUAGUAGGCUUUGGUCAAUGUGUGAUUUUGGUGGUAUGUGCUGUUCCACAGAUGUGUGUCCCUUAGUACACGCACACACACUCACACACGCAGUAUAAAUAUGUAUGUAAUAAAUUGUUUGUUAAUAAAUUCUGUUCCAUUUUUCACUGUGCUCCUAAAUUUCUUUGGGUGCUCCUACAUUUUUUUCAUUUAGGAGCACAUGUACUCCUUGGGAAAAAAGUUAGCGUAGAGCACUGUGCUGCUACCCCUCUCUCUGCCCUACGGGUGAUCAAAGAUGUAUUUGAACAGAGCCAUGAACCCCUCAUAUGAAUCUAGCUCCUCUCCCAGACAGCAGUGGCCCAUUCCAACACCCGCCCAAUCAGCAGAGAAAUAACCGUGGGAAACUUGGACCUCUCGGUGGUGGGGGGCUCCCAUCUGGUGCGAGAAGUAGAGGGAGCACUGAAGAAGGAAGCCACGGCAUUUAGAUGGGGUUCUGUAAUAUUUAUCCGGGAGGCAACGAACCUCUUCCAUAGCCAUCCCCAGUUGUGCCAGCUUGUCAUGGUGAUGACGAGCAGGGGCUCGUCGACCAUCUGGGAGAUAUUUUGUUUUCCUGCUGCCUCCAUUGUUGGAGUCAGUAUUCUGUAACGGAAAACAACAGCUGGAAAAUGAGUCGGAAGCACAGUAGCAUUUGGAUGCAUUUUAAUAAUGCAUCCAAUAAUAUUACAACACAGUGUAGAAUUUGCCAAAACAAAAUCUCAUAUAAAGCCGGUUCUAAGCAAAACCUACACCGGCAUAUACAAACUGUGCACCCAACUGUGAAGCUAGCUGUAGCGGAGCUUCAAGAAACUAGUGGGCUUGCUAGUGAUAGUGGUGGAGCCAGCACCUCCACACGUGGAGAUGUAUCCACUCAGUCAAGUAGGCCUACUCCACGACCCACAGCAACGCAAUCUUCUAUGGACCAGUUUAUGCCAAAGUCUGUGUCUGUAGCAAAACAAGGCCAAAUUGAUAUUGCAUUGGCUAAAAUGAUUGCCACCGAUGUCUAGCCAUUUUCGAUCGUGUAGGACAGAGGUCUUAGAAAUGAUAGCAAUAGUCUAAAUCCAAUGUACACAAUUCCAAGCAGGAAAACACUUUCAAAAUCACUUAUUCCACAACUGUACAAGAGCUCACAGGCUUCAGUGCGGGAAAGAGUUCAAAAAGCUAUUGCAGUUUGCCUUACCACUGACUGCUGGACAUCAAGGGUAACCACUUCUUACAUGUCGGUUACAUGUCACUUCAUUGAAGAUUUUUUGAUGUCUAGUUGUCUUCUGGACUGCUUUGAGUUCAGCGACAGACACACCUCAGAGAACUUGGCAGAGGAACUGUUGAGAGUGGCCAGAGAAUGGCAAGUAGAUGGAAAAGCGGUCUGUUGUGUUAGUGACAAUGCAGCUAACAUAACCAAAGCCAUGAAAAUGUUCAAAUGGACCCAUCAUCCAUGUCUUGCCCACACAAUCAACCUGAUUGUAAGAGAUGCUCUGAAGGCGAUGAAGCCCACUGUGGACAAAGGGAAAUCAGCUGUGGAAUACUUCCACAGGAGCACAGUAGGUGCUGAAAACUAAAGUCUACACAACGCCAGAUGGGGAUGCCUGAGCUGAGGCCUAAACAAAACUGCACUACAAGGUGGAAUUCAACAUUUUAUAUGUUGCAGCGGUUUCUUGAGUCAAAGGAUGCCGUCAUCUCUACCCUGGCCAUUGUCAAUGCACCUGUUGAUGCUCUGACCCAAGAGGAAUGGGAGUUGGUGGAGGAGAUGUGCAGAGUCCUGGAACCCUUCGAGCAGAUCACUGUGGAGAUCAGUGGAGAGAGGUACAGUAAGCAGUUAUUACUACAUCAUUAUUAUAUAUGUAUAUGAGCAGUAGAUGAGAAUGUAGUAUUAGUAGACAAAACAUGAACCUGAACUAAUAAGUUACUGUUCUCUGUUUUCAGCUAUGUGACAGCCUUAGAAAUGAUACUCCUGUGUAAGGGUCUGCAGCGAAUCAUAGCCAGCCGCCAGAGAGAAGCAAAUGUAACCACAAGACAUGUGACAGAGUUGAUGAGAGAAGAAACCGCAUCAGCCCCUCGAAAGUGAGGCAGCUUGCAUUUCUGAAUGCAAAUCUCUCAUAAAAAGCAAAAUAUGGUCAGCAUUGCUGUGUGCUGCUGGUUAUAACAUGGCAAUAAAGAAGAGAGAGAAAAGAGGUACCAGUUUAAUGUUAAAAGUGGGAUGCUGCAGUUUUGCACAUUGUUAUUUAUUUUUAUUUGAUAUGGUGCAAUAUUUGAUUAUUAUGUUGUUCAGAUUGUAUGCGUUUUGAAUUGUUACAUUUCUAUGCACUUUAUAUACAUUUAUAUACAUACGUUUAUAUACAUUAAAAAAGUUAUACUUUAAAUGCACAUGUGUAAUAGCAUCCUUCUUUUUUACAUUUAUUUCAAUUUGUGGGAUGCUGCAGUUUUUCAAAUUAUUUAUUUUUCUUUGAUAUGGUGCAAUAUUCAAUUAUGCGGUUCAGAUUGUAUUUGUUUUGAAUGGUUAGAUUUAUAUGCACUUUGUUUAUAUACAUAAAAAGUUAUACUUUAAAUGCAAAUGUUUAAUAGCAUUCUUUUUCAUAAUUUAAUUAGAAUUGUUUUAACACCAAUCACACCAAACUAUCGCAAACUGUUUGACUUGAAAAAAUACAAAACAUAUAUUUUUUAAAGAGACGUUUGGGAGCC
rnacentral:lncRNA from 8 species